CCAUCUUGAGCGGGCAGAAGCGCUGCUACGAGCUUCAUCGGGAAUCCCGUGAGAUCCGGGAGCGGACCCGCCGCCGUAAGUCGCAGAACCUGCUCCCCCCGUGUGCCACUGGCAGCCGCCGGGAAGGCCGAGAGCAGGGUGACGAGCCGGAAGACCUGCUUCUGCCGCUUGUCCAUG
rnacentral:ncRNA from 2 species